CCCUUAGAUGUCCUGGGCCGCACGCGCGCUACACUGACAUGUUCAACAAGCCUCCUAGUUCGACAGGAUUUGGGAAAUCUUUGAACGCAUGUCGUGAUAGGGAUAGAUCAUUGCAAUUAUUGAUCUUGAACGAGGAAUUCCUAGUAAACGCGAGUCAUCAGCUCGCAUUGAUUACGUCCCUGCCCUUUGUACACACCGCCCGUCGCACCUACCGAUUGAAUGUUUCGGUGAAGAUUCCGGAUAGGACUUUUUUGAUUUAUUUCAAUCUUGUCUUAAAAGCUAUCUAAACCUCAACAUUUAGAGGAAGGUGAAGUCGUAACA
rnacentral:rRNA from 1 species